CCUUACCAGACAACUGAAAUAUAGUACGGCCGGACUGGGCGACGAUCUGCGCACAACGAAGCCGAUCGCCAGAAACAAAGAGUAAACCAGGGCUGACAUCCGCGUUAGCUGGUGACAGGUACAGAUACACAAGAAGAAGCUUUGCCCAACCUUCCAGAGAUUCCGUCCUCCUCCUCCUCCGAAUUGAUCUGCUUUCGGGUGGCAAAAGGGAAAAAAGCUGGACAACACUUAACAGACUGGAAAAAGCGGGCAGCAUCUGACAUCCACGACCUCCAAUGAGAGAUGCAAAGGAGAAGAAAAAAAGCAGAGGAGUAUGAAGUCACUCCCAGAACUGCUUUAGCAGCGAUAACAGGAUGCAGAGGCAGACGGAGGAGGGGCUUCCAGGGGUGCUGUCCUGAGCUGUGGGGAGCCUGCAACCUGCUCUUUCUGGAUCUUAGCCCCCUGCAUGGGUGUCUAAUGCAGCAGAUGGCCCCGGGAGAGACAAGUCACAGAUAAGUGAAAAUUCAGUGAAACCAGGCUGAUUAAGGCAAAUAUUUUUAUAUUCUCUGAUCCUAUAGUAUCUACCAUGCUUUUAUAUUCUUUUAUUUUUAAUAUACUGUAGCAAGCACAAAUAUGUUUUUCUUCCAUAUAUAAACAAUUGUAUUUUCAAAGCCUCCUUCUAAAGACACUUAUUUUUUAUUUUCCACAGCUGAAGAUCUGUGCUUAUAAACUUCGACACAAUUUUGAUCUUAUUCUAGAUAAUUGGAUUAUUGUUUUUAAAAAAAAUCAGCUAUUUAGAGUAAGCACACUUGUUACAGCAUGUUGAUCUGGGCUCACCGGGGGCCUGAAUAAUACUGUUAUUGCAGAUGGUGUGCAGGCAAAUCCAGGUUAUGUUUUAAUAAGGUGACCCUGACUUAAAAACUGAAAUCGUUCUUCAGUGAGGGAAAAGCUUGGCUAUACUGUGACUUCUACAUAACAGAACUGACAGCUUAGCAUUAAUGGAAUCUUAUCAUAGUUGGGAAGCUAUUGGAGAAUCCUUGUUGUGCUUCAGGGAGGAGGGAUGUGUGUGGAUGUGGAGGGGCAUUAAAAUGCUGAGAGAGUAUGGAGACAAUGGCAGCUGGAGCCCCUUGUUUACUUGGUGCAGAAUGAGAUCUUCUCUGGAAGUCUCUCCACCUGGCUUUACAAAGAGUACAUAGGAAGUCACGGUCAAUCGUGGGACUCUGCCUCACCAAUCACUCCUAUGGUUUCAGAUCCCGCUCGCGCUAAAAGGCACGGUUCGCUUCUGUCGACUUCUGUCUGUCGGAGGGAGCUGUGGCAGGGACAGAUGGCGACUUCAGAUAGGGCUCCGCUGGUUCUCGCCGAGCAGUCACUUGAGCUGCGUGUGAAUGCGUUUUGUUUAUUUAUUCAUUUCUUCAUUUAUUUAUGAUUUCAGUCCUUGUGUGUGGGCAAACAGGCAAGCAGAGAACAAUAAAAAAAGGAGCGACACAUGCAGUUCCACAUAACAUCCUUGCACUUGCACACCCCACUGUUGUUGACUGACACAUAAUAGCACAUUACGUCAGCUCAAUAUAUCAUUACCUUACUAAUAUAAAUCGUGUAAUGUGGUCCUGGGAACAGGUUUAUGAGGAAAAAAGGAAAGUCCCUCAUUGGAUAUCUCAUUGGUUUUGUGAAAGUGACAUACACGUAUAACUAGAUAGCAAUCUCAGAGUCCUCUAGGUCAGUGUUUCCCAACCCGGUCCAGAUUUUUGCUCCCUGCCAGACAGUUCACAUUUUUGCUCCCCUACUAGGAGCUGGAAGGGAGCAAAAAUGUGGACUGUCUGGGGGUCCCCACAGACCAGGUUGGGAAACACUGCUCUAGAUGAGCCGUAGACUUUUAACAGUAGGCAGGUUGUUUGUUAUUUUUGUCCACUUACAUGCUUGCUCUGAGUGCUAACGUUGCAGUGGCAUUUGGGGAAUUCCUCAGUAUGUGACCUGUCCAGCCUUUGUGAGGACAAUAGGCUCUGGAUCCUGGAUCCUCAGGAGAGGGUCACCUGUGGUUCAGCUGCUGCCCUGUAACCUUCCCUUAGAGCCCUGUAAUCCUACACCGUGUGCAGGUCAGAACAACACAACAACCUUCCCUACUCUCUCUUUUACUUUUUUUUAUCUUCUUACCUUCUUACCACCACCGAUACACACACACUCAUUUGCAUUGCAUCUCUCAGGGCAGUCGUACUUUUUUAAGUGUAAUAAAGACGUGAAAUUUCAUAGGCUGACUGGUGAUGACUGUUUACUAGAAUGUGCCCCAUUAUGUUAAGUGCAUAAAAGUCAAGUAAGCUAAGAGCACGGGUUUCCAGUUGCUUUAUUGGAGCUGCAAAGUGAUGUAUGUGUGCUGAAAUGUACGGGGGUGUAGACAGAACCCCCCCCCCCCCC